AGCGGACGUAAAGGUGUUGUGGUUGUUGGGUGUGGUUGAGGGUUGGGGUGGUGGUGGUAGUUGGGAGUGGUGGUGUGGUGGUGGGGGCGGUGGCGGUGGUGGUAGUGGUGAUGGUGACGCUACAGUUGUCAGGGUUUAUAGAGAUGGUCGUGUGUGUGUGUGUGUGUGUGUGUGUGUGUACUCCUGUAAUCAGCAAACUGCAGUCACUCGUUCGCUUGUUUCACCUCCCUGCUUCAGGCCUUCCUUCUCUCCCCUCCUCUCCCUCCCCGCUCCCUCGCCUGCCUGCCACCCUCUCCCCUCUCUUCCUCGCCUGCUCUCCCCUGCUCCUCGUAUCCUAGACCUCGUCGAGAAGAUACACACCUGGGCGUCUCCAGGAUCCUUCUGACACACAGAAGCCCACGUGUCCAUUACAAGUCGCUCAGAUAGAAAUGAGAGAUAGUAUGCAGCCAUCCUUGAGAGCUGAGGAAGGGGAAGGAGUGAAAGGAAGUGAAGAAGAGGCACAAGAAGAGUAGGAAGCUUGUGCAGGGCGGAGAGGAGCAGGCAGUGUGUAGGCUGGAGGAGCAGAGGCUUGUUAGAUGAGAUUACUGGGCGGAAUGGGCGGCACGAGGGAGGUGCGUAAUUACACCAACCAAUAACUGCAAACGUAAACUUUCGGGUCGUGGCGCCUGAAUUACCGCCAAUAAUUAUCUGGCAGCAGGCGAUUCCCACACCCUGGCCACCGCUUUGCCGCCGCCCGUGACUCUGACUCCCGGCCGGCAAUGCAGCUCGGGUUGUUCCUCCGUCAGUAGAAGCAACUAUAAAGGAGGUUUAGUGGAGGAAAGCUUGUAUUGUUGUCAGUGUGGCGGGUUUAUGUUAUCACGUGUAGUUGUAUGUAUCGAGAACACCUGAACAUCAUUACCUGUAGUUGUUUAUAUCGAGAACACCUGAUUCGCUUCUCGUGAUAAGUUAUGAUGGUCUUAAUCAGUGAAUCGUUUUGUCUCUAACAUCAUGCACCGUUGCUGUCAUAUACUGUGUUCUGCUUUUGUUGCUUUUCUUCCUCCUCUUCUUACUCUUUAUUUUCCUCCUUCUCUUCCUUCUUAUUUUUUAUUCUUCUUCUUCUCCUUGUUCUUGUUCUUGUCCUCUUUCUCGCUCUUUCACUUCUCUCUCUCUCCCUCCCCUUCUCUUCCUCCUCCUCCUCCUUCUCCUACUCCUCCUCCUCCCUCCACACAGACACACUUCCCCCCUCUUCCACUUCCAUUUUCACACCUACAAUUGCGCUACAAACAGCAACAUAACAGCAACAACAAAGACAACAAAAUGAGGGCAACACUUCACUCCACAGACUGCCUUUACUAUGCGUCUCCUGACACGGACAGAGUAACAUCAGUGAAAGAUCAGAAGUGAGGGACAACUGACACUGCCUCUGUGAAACGCACCAGUGGAAACAAACUCACCCUAACCUCGUCUUUUGCGUCUUCCUCCCCCACCGACGCCUUGAAGAUUACUUAGAGCGUGUCCAAGGAAGGAAGGGGGAUUUUGCAGGUUGGUUUGCUGUAUUACUCUGGCCAGUGGAUAUCGGGUGGACGAGAGAGACGCUUACUGGGGUCUGCUGGGUAGUCUUCAUGUGUGAUAUGGCUGGAAACUGUACUCGGGAAGGUGGCUAUACAUAAAUUCAGUUGCUUCUUAGAUAUAUUGAGUUAAUUCUUAGAGAUCAUUAAGUAGGGAUGCUUGAAAGGUUUAGAUUUUCAACGGUAUCGCUUUGGUGGUUUUGAGAAGAAAAUCAGAGGUCAUUUUU